rnacentral:rRNA from 1 species
AACGAACGCUGGCGGCAUGCCUAACACAUGCAAGUCGAACGAGACCUUCGGGUCUAGUGGCGCACGGGUGCGUAACGCGUGGGAAUCUACCCUCAGGUUCGGAAUACCUCAGAGAAAUUUGAGCUAAUACCGGAUGAUGACGUAAGUCCAAAGAUUUAUCGCCUGAGGAUGAGCCCGCGUAGGAUUAGGUAGUUGGUGAGGUAAAGGCUCACCAAGCCGACGAUCCUUAGCUGGUCUGAGAGGAUGAUCAGCCACACUGGGAAUGAGACACGGCCCAGACUCCUGCGGGAGGCAGCAGUGGGGAAUAUUGGACAAGGGGCGAAAGCCUGAUCCAGCAAUGCCGCGGGAGUGAUGAAGGCCUUAGGGUUGUAAAGCUCGUUUACCCGGGAUGAUAAUGACAGUACCGGGAGAAUAAGCGCCGGCUAACUCCGUG